rfam:Skermanella stibiiresistens SB22 contig10, whole genome shotgun sequence.
GGAAGGGCAACCGAUCGUGGGAAGGAAGCGUGGAUCGAAGCCGCGGGUCGACGAACAAGAACCGGAUACGAGGCGGUGCCGACGAGGGCGAGCGCGAGAAGCGCGCCGUCAACCCUCUCGCCAUGAUCACCGUUGCGGUGAUCCUUGUCCAUAUCAGCGACGCACCUGGUCCGCGCCGAAGUCGGUCGACGC